rnacentral:rRNA from 1 species
CUAGCCNUGCCGCGUGUGUGAUGAAGGCCUUAGGGUCGUAAAGCACUUUCGCCAGAGAUGAUAAUGACAGUAUCUGGUAAAGAAACCCCGGCUAACUCCGUGCCAGCAGCCGCGGUAAUACGGAGGGGGUUAGCGUUGUUCGGAAUUACUGGGCGUAAAGCGUACGUAGGCGGAUCAGAAAGUAUGGGGUGAAAUCCCAGGGCUCAACCCUGGAACUGCCUCAUAAACUCCUGGUCUUGAGUUCGAGAGAGGUGAGUGGAAUUCCAAGUGUAGAGGUGAAAUUCGUAGAUAUUUGGAGGAACACCAGUGGCGAAGGCGGCUCACUGGCUCGAUACUGACGCUGAGGUACGAAAGUGUGGGGAGCAAACAGGAUUAGAUACCCNGGNAGUC